GACGAACGCUGGCGGCGUGCUUAACACAUGCAAGUCGAACGGAAAGGCCUGCUUUCCCUUGUGGAUUGCGGGUACUCGAGUGGCGAACGGGUGAGUAACACGUGAGUGAUCUGCCCCCAACUUGGGUAUAAGCCUGGGAAACUGGGUCUAAUUCCCGAUAGGACUGCAGGGUGGUGCCUGUGGUGGAAAACGAUUUUCUAGUGGUUGGGGAUGAGCUCGCGGCCUAUCAGCUUGUUGGUGGGGUAAUGACCUACCAAGGCGGCGACGGGUAGCCGGCCUGAGAGGGUGGACGGCCACAGUGGGACUGAGAUACGGCCCAGACUCCUACGGGAGGCAGCAGUGGGGAAUAUUGCACAAUGGGCGGAAGCCUGAUGCAGCGACGCCGCGUGGGGGAUGACGGCCUUCGGGUUGUAAACUCCUUUCGACCGCGAGGAAGCCACCUGGUUGGAAGGGUGGUGACGGUAGUGGUAGAAGAAGCACCGGCUAACUACGUG
rnacentral:rRNA from 1 species